CACCAGGCUCCUCUCAGGGUCUUGGUUACGCUGCCUCCUCCCUCCUGGAAUGCCUCCACUUUCCUCUGCCCAUCCAUAGAUCUGCCCAUCCAUCAGCACCUACCUCCAGUUCGCCCUCUUCCACAAAAUUGUCGUGAUCACCCUGGCCCCUAGAGAGCUUUCCACCUCGCCACAGCUGUAUUCAACUGCCACCCCAUUUAGUAUAUGACCACAACAGGCUUGUACUACGUAAGCAGUAUGGAUUUUCCCAGACCACUUGGAUAGCAGCCUCCCAGCUCUCUUCGACACCCCUGGAUUGGCUAACUUUGCCUCACGUGAUCAUAUAAGCGGGCGGAGCCGGCACAACCUGGUCCAGCCCAGUGGGCUGUGCUGGGGGAUCCGUGGACCCUGAGGCCUGAACAGGCGGCCAGACCUCUCCCAAGUAGUCCCUGCCUCCCUGCGGCUACCCUCGGGCCUUGGGCAACCCCAUCCUUGACCCUGGAGCCUGAAAUUGUCUCUUGGUUCAUGAUCGUUCUGCCUGCAGAGUGCAUGCCUGUCUCACUGCCUCGCCAGCGUUUCCGUAGCACGCAGAGGGCCGUGAAUUACAAAAGUUACUUUUCUCCAGUCAAUUCAAGCCAGCCUGGCGCGAGUCCCUCAUUCUCCUUUGUCAACGAGGCAAAGACUCAGUUGUUCCCCCAGCUUUGUCUUGCAGAGAGCAGCCCUUUCUCUGCCCUUCCUCUCUGCCUCAGAAGCCCCAUUGUGCCUUACACUUGACCCUGCUCUGUAGUGCGUGGAAAAUCUGGUUUUUUUCCACCUUUCACGUCUGCUACUCCGGGAUUGAUGGGAAUAGGGGCUGGGAGGGAAGAAAGGUUGGAACAGUUUGCGAUUGACAGCUCGUUAGUUGGGUGUUAUUUUACUGCUGGGCAAGAAUGAUCAAACUAACACCGCGGGGAGGUCUCCAAGAGCCCUGGCAAGUGUGUUGCAGGACCAUCCCGGUGCUGGAGGGCGCGGUGUGGUCCCGCCGCCGCCCCAGGCGCUCGGAGCUGUUAGAGGAGAGUGCCCUGUGAGUCCUUGAUAAAUUCAGGUGUUUCUUCUCGAUUUUUAAAACCUGACGGCUUUUCAGGGGCCCCCACCUGGAACAUGUUCCUUCCUGCCUCUUGUACCUCUGCCUUUCAAUCCUUCGACUCAGCAAACUCCUCGAUCCACUUCCACUAAUCCCCCUGGAUUAUCUCCUGCAAAGCGCAGUGUGAAAUUCACUUCUACCUGGAAGCCUCUCUCUUCUAACCCCAUCUAGUUCAGUUCCCUACUUUGUUUUCAGCACCCUGGUGUUCUGUUUGAUUUCUUUUGCAAGUGUUUAGUUGGGGCUUUGAAAGGAUCUGAAAUCUUAUCAGAUUUAAUUGAAAAUGCCCUAAAGCCAGAGACGACUUUUUUCCACAUCCCCGCCUCACCCCCACAGUAUAUUGUCCACCUCCCACAAAGCCUCAUAACUAAACCCCAGGAUGUCUGAAGGAAAAACUCAAGAGGGGUUCCUCAUACCAGGAAGAGCCACUACCCUCCCAGUGUCCCCGCAUCUCAGAACAGCCAGGUCCCUGCUGCCUUCUCCUGUGUGUAGACUAAGGUGUGUUCAUUAAUGUUAACAGGUUGAUUUUCUCUUGAUACUCCUUAACCCAAAGAAAAGGUUUGUUGGCAAAGACAAGUGGAAAUUCCUCAAGGGGACCUGUCUCAGAGCAGUGUUGGUGAGCCCUCGAGGCCCAUCGGGGAGGUGACUGGGGCCUCCAAGUCUGUAAUUUAAACAACCAACCAAGGUGAUGCUGACAUACAGUCACGUUGUCAGAACCAAUGGUGGAUCCUUGCUACAAGUGUGGUCCUCAGACAAAUAGCAUCAGCCUCACCUGGGAGUUGUUAAGAAAUGCAGAAUCUCAGGCCCCACCCAGACUUACUUAAGCAAUCUGCAUUUUAACAAGAUCUCCUGGUGAUUGGUAUAUCCUAAAGCUCCUGCUCUAUUGACGAUUGCAUUGGCACAAAUUUAAACGGAAAAUCAGGGAGCUAGGUGGGGUAGAGGGCUGGAAGGGGUAGAGGGGAAGUUUGAGCAGCCACAGCCCCAGGGUCCCCUCCCUCCCCAACUGGGCCCUGGUUUGGGA
rnacentral:lncRNA from 1 species